GCCUCCAUGGUCUAGUUGGUUAUUACGCCGAUCUCAUAUGUUCACACAUCCAAGUUAUUGGAGGUCCGGGGUUCCAUCCUCAGUAGGGGCA